AUAGUUUUGUGGGGGUGCUUGUAAAAGCUGAGAAGAAAUAUUUCUAACCCUUUGAACCUGAUCCAGGUAAAGCUGGCGUAGGGAAACAAUAUUGUAUAGUCU
rnacentral:ncRNA from 2 species